GGGAUUGUGGCUCAGAGGUAGAGCACUCGCCUCACAUGCAUGAGGCACUGGGUUCGAUCCUCAGCGCCA
rfam:Ictidomys tridecemlineatus contig097295, whole genome shotgun sequence.